GUCUGGCAUGGGCCUCUCCACCGUGCCUGACCUGCUGCUGCCACUGGUGCUCCUGGAGCUGUUGGUGGGAAUAUACCCCUCAGGGGUUAUUGGACUGGUCCCUCACCUAGGGGACAGGGAGAAGAGAGAUAGUGUGUGUCCCCAAGGAAAAUAUAUCCACCCUCAAAAUAAUUCUAUUUGCUGUACCAAGUGCCACAAAGGAACCUACUUGUACAAUGACUGUCCAGGCCCGGGGCAGGAUACGGACUGCAGGGAGUGUGAGAGCGGCUCCUUCACCGCUUCAGAAAACCACCUCAGACACUGCCUCAGCUGCUCCAAAUGCCGAAAGGG
rnacentral:lncRNA from 1 species